AUUGAACGCUGGCGGCAGGCCUAACACAUGCAAGUCGAGCGGAUGAAGGGAGCUUGCUCCUGGAUUCAGCGGCGGACGGGUGAGUAAUGCCUAGGAAUCUGCCUGGUAGUGGGGGAUAACGUCCGGAAACGGGCGCUAAUACCGCAUACGUCCUGAGGGAGCAAGUGGGGGAUCUUCGGACCUCACGCUAUCAGAUGAGCCUAGGUCGGAUUAGCUAGUUGGUGGGGUAAAGGCCUACCAAGGCGACGAUCCGUAACUGGUCGGAGAGGAUGAUCAGUCACACUGGAACUGAGACACGGUCCAGACUCCUACGGGAGGCAGCAGUGGGGAAUAUUGGACAAUGGGCGAAAGCCUGAUCCAGCCAUGCCGCGUGUGUGAAGAAGGUCUUCGGAUUGUAAAGCACUUUAAGUUGGGAGGAAGGGCAGUAAGUUAAUACCUUGCUGUUUUGACGUUACCAACAGAAUAAGCACCGGCUAACUUCGUG
rnacentral:rRNA from 1 species